GGGUGUAAAGGCCAUCUGGCUGAAACAUCUGUCACCUCAUUGAUCGCCAGGGUUGAUCCUGCAGAUCUGGCAGGCUAGACGGGUGUCCACUUCCUCCCUCACCCCUCCAAAUGCAUCUCUCCCAAAGCUGUGCUUUCGUUUUGAAGAGGAUGGCCAUCCCAGAUAGACCAGAACUAGUCUUCAGUCAAGGGUAUAAGAGUAGCUGCGUUCCCCUGCUAGAACCUCCAACAAACUCUCAAAAAAAGUCUUCUGUCCUCUGUUGCUAUUCAACGUGCCAACCCUUAGAGACACUUCAGUAGUGUGCUCUGCUAG
rfam:Dipodomys ordii contig_42023, whole genome shotgun sequence.